GACGGCCGCUGCAAACAUGUUGCGGCUGUUGUUGCGACGGUGAACUGCCCUGAAGAUGAUUCGUGCACUGGACUACCGCAGGCGUGGGGUCGACCUGGGUACAGGGCAGCGGACAGCGGCUUGCGGCGACCAUUUGAAGAGGUUUACCCGAGUGGUUUCAGGAGAGGUUGACACGUCUCACCAGCACGGAAUGCCAUAGGGUCCGCACAAGAGUAGCAGAUUUCGAGAAACUUGCCGCAAGCUUGAAAACUGCUCGGCCACUGAAAACGGCAGCCACUGCGUACGGCACGCAGAUGGAAAGCAGUGCAGUGAGAGAAUUUCAGAAGAAGUUUCCUGCAAUUGUAUAUCAGGCUGGGCUUCUGAUUCAUCCUGGACAGCAAUGGCUCUGCGCAAGCCCAGAUGGCGUAGUGCGACUGGACGACGGGCUGUACCUUCUGGAAGUGAAAUGCCCGUUUGGUCGGAAGGGACAGUCAAUUAUCGACCACACGAGUGCCACCAGCUACGUCCAGUAUCUGUACUACGAUGAUGGCAAGCUCUGCUUGAAGAAGUCUCAUCAGUAUUACACCCAGAUACAGAUAGGAAUGUAUGUCAUGAAUGUAGCAGAAACUUUCUUUUUUGUAUAUUCCGAGGCACAGUCCAUUAACGUGAUGGUUGAACGAGAUGAUGAAUUCCUCAGUGAACUGAUUCCCAAGCUAGAGACAUUCUACUUCACAUAUAUGUUACCACAGAUUGUGCAGAGGUGUAAAAACAAAAUUUAGCUGUAUCAGGCAUUUGUCUGUGCACACAAGUUACUCCUGUAUAUCCCUGAAUCUGUUUUCCUGAAUUUUCACAGACUGUUGUACAUAGUAGAAUGUGAAUAGACUUGUCGUCUGAUCAUGUAAAUAUACUGUUCCCUGCAUAAUUUGUUAGCGUCAACUGAAACUCCUUUCAAACUUCUUGAGUGCAGUCAUUAAUGAACACUGAUAACAAGAACUUUUACUUCACAACACCAGUACACAGACUGUACAACCUUCA